GACGGAAGGUGCAAGCGUUGCUCGGAAUCACUGGGCGUAAAGGGUGCGUAGGCGGCCGUGCAAGUCUGGCGUGAAAGCCCCGGGCUCAGCCCGGGAAGUGCGCUCGAAACUGCGCGGCUCGAGUGCCGGAGGGGAGAGUGGAAUUCCUGGUGUAGCGGUGAAAUGCGUAGAUAUCAGGAGGAAUACCGGUGGCGAAAGCGGCAUCCUGGACCGGUAUUGACGCUGAGGCGCGAAAGCUAGGGGAGCAAACGGG
rnacentral:rRNA from 1 species